UGUCUUAUGGUGUAAUGGUAGCACUGCAGUUUCUGGAUCUGCCUGUCUAGGUUCGAAUCCUAGUAAGACAACAA
rnacentral:tRNA from 1 species